UACGUAGGGGGCAAGCGUUGUCCGGAUUUAUUGGGCGUAAAGAGCGUGUAGGCGGCUAGAUAGGUCCGUUGUGAAAACUCGAGGCUCAACCUCGAGACGUCGAUGGAAACCAUCUGGCUAGAGUCCGGAAGAGGAGAGUGGAAUUCCUGGUGUAGCGGUGAAAUGCGCAGAUAUCAGGAAGAACACCCGUGUCGAAGGCGGCUCUCUGGUACGUGACUGACGCUGAGACGCGAAAGCGUGGGGAGCAAACAGG
rnacentral:rRNA from 1 species